rnacentral:rRNA from 1 species
GACCUGCGGAGGAUCAUUAUCGUAGGGCUUCGGCCCUGUCGAGAUAGAACCCUUGCCUUUUUGAGUACCUUUCGUUUCCUCGGCAGCCUCGGCUGCCAAUGGGGACCCCAAAAAACACUUUGUAGUACCUGUAACAGUCUGAACAAACAAACAAAAAUUAAAACUUUCAACAACGGAUCUCUUGGUUCUAGCAUCGAUGAAGAACGCAGCGAAAUGCGAUAAGUAGUGUGAAUUGCAGAAUUCAGUGAAUCAUCGAAUCUUUGAACGCACAUUGCGCCCUUUGGUAUUCCUUAGGGCAUGCCUGUUCGAGCGUCAUUUAAACCUUCAAGCUCAGCUUGGUGUUGGGUGACUGUCCGCCGCCUCCGGGCGCGUGGACUCGCCUCAAAAUUAUUGGCGGCCGGUACAUUGGCUUCGAGCGCAGCAGAAACGCGAACUCGGGGCCCGACGUAGCGGCGACCACAAGUCUAUUCAUCACUUUGACCUCGGAUCAGGUAGGGAUACCCGCUGAACUUAAGCAUAUCAAUAAGCGGAGGA